rnacentral:rRNA from 1 species
GGCCUUCGGGUUGUAAAGUUCUUUCGUGGAGGACGAAAAGGUGGGUGCUAAUAUCGCCUGCUGUUGACGUGAAUCCAAGAAGAAGCACCGGCUAACUCCGUGCCAGCAGCCGCGGUAAUACGGGGGGUGCAAGCGUUAAUCGGAAUCACUGGGCGUAAAGGGUGCGUAGGCGGUGCAUUAGGUCUGUCGUGAAAUCCCCGGGCUCAACCUGGGAAUGGCGGUGGAAACCGGUGUACUAGAGUAUGGGAGAGGGUGGUGGAAUUCCAGGUGUAGCGGUGAAAUGCGUAGAGAUCUGGAGGAACAUCAGUGGCGAAGGCGGCCACCUGGCCCAAUACUGACGCUGAGGCACGAAAGCGUGGGGAGCAAACAGGAUUAGAUACCCUGGUAGUCCACGCCCUAAACGAUGAAUACUAGAUGUUUGGUGCCACGCGUACUGAGUGUCGUAGCUAACGCGAUAAGUAUUCCGCCUGGGAAGUACGGCCGCAAGGUUAAAACUCAAAUGAAUUGACGGACC